rnacentral:rRNA from 1 species
UACAGAGGGUGCAAGCGUUAGUCGGAAUUACUGGGCGUAAAGCGUGCGCAGACGGUUGCGUAAGUCAGAUGUGAAAGCCCCGGGCUCAACCUGGGAAUUGCAUUUGAGACUGCGUAGCUAGGGUGCGGAAGAGGGAAGCGGAAUUUCCGGUGUAGCGGUGAAAUGCGUAGAUAUCUGCAGGAACACCCGUGGCGAAAGCGGCGCGCUGGACCACUACUGACGCUGAGGAACGAAAGCUAGGGGAGCAAACAGG